rnacentral:misc_RNA from 1 species
UGUUGGAGGCGACAAGCCCCGAGACCGUUUUACUUUUGAAUCAACCAUGAAUGACACGGCGUCCAACUCCAAACAGGUAAAGAUGAACUUUAACUUUGAUGAUCCAAAUAUUGCAGAAAGAUUACACGAAGUGGAGAAACGUUACCCAGUGGGUUGUUUACCGCAAUCUCUUACGACACCUAGUACCGAUAAAGCUAAACGCUGUUUGUUCGAGAAAAUAGAUAGCUCUAGGUCUAAUUAUAGGCGUGGAGCCAAUAUGGAGGCAUUUAGGACAACCCAAGAAAGAAUUCAACCCUGGCUUAAAGCCUUACACCUGUAUUACAUUAUGUCAUGUGAAGAUACCAGAACUGUUGAUUUUGUUGACACACAUACACCAUUUGAAAUCUCGACAUCACAACACCUGCUAGAAAAAGUGACUGCUGAUGUGAAAGAUAUUAAGACUAAGAAAAAAAUUUACAAAGUCACAUUCUUCAUCAAAUCUGGACUAAUCCAGGUACAAGGAACCAGCUACCAUGAAUUUAUGUCCAAAGACUUUCCAUUGCUGUUAGACAUUGUACAAAAAAUUUGUGGACCAUUGGAACUCACAGUACAUCAGUCAAAUGAAGAAACCAGUCUGCAAACAACUACUACAAAUAAAUCAGACUGUCUGAGUCCCAACUGUAUGGAUAUCUCUCAAAACAGACAUGAUCAACAUUCGUUGCAAGCAGUUCAUAAAACAGACAAUUUUGAUGUUAAGUUGAGAAAAUCUGAUGCAUUACAUGACAUUACAAAUCACAAUGACCUCAGAGUUAAGGAAGGAAAAGCAUUUCAUCAGCCAGCAAAUUUUCAGCAUGGUGAGCCACUUAGGAAAACUGACGGUAACAGCUUUCCCUGCCAGGAAGCACUGCUUAUAUAUAAUCAGGAGAAACUCUUCGAGCGGAUUGGCUGUAUCAAGGUAACCCUUCAUGGCAAGGAGAGUCAUGGUACAGGAUUCCGAGUGGGCAGCAAGUACUUCAUGACAGCCUUCCAUGUUAUGGAGGAUGUUCUAAUUCUGUUUUGGGAAGAAGUAUACAGGAGAUUGACAAAGGAAGAAAGAAUGCAAAUGAAAUGGACAGAUGACAAAAUACCAGUUGAUGGAGCAUGGAAAUUGUCCAAACUCUUGACAUUUGUGGACCCCAGCAAAAGGAGUAAGCUAGGAUAUACAGUAGUUAAUAUGAUUGGAAACAAAAACUAGCUAAAGUUUUGAACCUCAGAUCAAAAGCAGCUACCAGGGUUUAUCAUAACCUUUUGGCAUUAAUGCCUACACCUGUCUUUUGCUUUGAAAUAAUGAUGAAAACAUUUGCAUUUUAUUGUUUAAAUUAAUGUAUCAAUAGAUUACAAUAAAUUAUUGUCAACAUGU